rnacentral:rRNA from 1 species
UACGUAGGGAGCAAGCGUUGUUCGGAUUUACUGGGCGUAAAGGGCGCGUAGGCGGCGGGGUCAGUCGGGUGUGAAAUCUUGGGGCUUAACCCCGAAACGGCACUCGAAACUGCCCGGCUGGAGGGCCGGAGAGGAGAUCGGAAUUCACGGUGUAGCAGUGAAAUGCGUAGAGAUCGUGAGGAAGACCCGUGGCGAAGGCGGAUCUCUGGACGGCUAACUGACGCUGAGGCGCGAAGGCCAGGGGAGCGAAACGGG